AAGUCGUAACAAGGUUUCCGUAGGUGAACCUGCGGAAGGAUCAUUAACACGUAUCCAAACGUUAAAACCCCCCCCGUGAACCUUCACCCGCGUAGUUCGCAAUCUCUGAUAAAUCAUAGCCCGGAAAGUUGUAGUGAUUCAGAGACCUCUGGCUACGUGCGAACAUAGGCAAUGUUUCUCCAAGCAGUCAGUGUCGGAAAGUGUCAUUGAUUGUGCAAGGAUAGCGCUUCUACGAUUCCUGUAGACCGUACACUCGGGCAGGGGCUUUGCCAAAGGGUCCCCAUGCCCCCUAAUAACCCCACAGUUUAAUGUGAAGCCCGAUGUAAUACAUUGGGUAAAAAAACCGAACAACUGUUAACAAUGGAUAUCUUGGUUCUC
rnacentral:misc_RNA from 1 species